AUAUAAGCUUGCUUAUAUUGCAGACGAGUGGCGGACGGGUGAGUAAUAUUUGGGAAGCUACCUGAUAGAGGGGGACAACAGUUGGAAACGACUGCUAAUACCGCAUAUAGCCUGAGGGUGAAAGUAGAGAUACGCUAUCAGAUGUGCCCAAAUGGGAUUAGCUAGUAGGUGAGGUAAAGGCUCACCUAGGCGACGAUCUCUAGCUGGUCUGAGAGGAUGAUCAGCCACAUUGGGACUGAGACACGGCCCAGACUCCUACGGGAGGCAGCAGUAGGGAAUAUUGCACAAUGGAGGAAACUCUGAUGCAGCCAUGCCGCGUGUGUGAAGAAGGCCUUCGGGUUGUAAAGCACUUUCAGUGGGGAGGAACAGAUGACGUUACCCACAGAAGAAGCACCGGCUAACUCCGUGCCAGCAGCCGCGGCAAUACGGAGGGUGCAAGCGUUAAUCGGAAUAACUGGGCGUAAAGGGCAUGCAGGCGGUUUUAAAAGUAGGAUGUGAAAUCCUGGGGCUUAACCUCAGAACUGCAUCCUAAACUAUAAGACUAGAGUAUUGCAGGGGGAGACGGAAUUCCAGGUGUAGCGGUGGAAUGCGUAGAUAUCUGGAAGAACACCAAAGGCGAAGGCAGUCUCCUGGGCAAAUACUGACGCUCAUAUGCGAAAGCGUGGGUAGCAAACAGGAUUAGAUACCCUGGUAGUCCACGCCGUAAACGAUGUCAAUUAGAAGCUUGAGCAAUAGUUUGGGUUUCGUAGCUAACGCAAUAAAUUGACCGCCUGGGGAGUACGGCCGCAAGGUUAAAACUCAAAUGAAUUGACGGGGGCCCGCACAAGCGGUGGAGCAUGUGGUUUAAUUCGACGCAACGCGAAGAACCUUACCUGACCUUGACAUCUUAGGAAUUUCUUAGAAGUAAGAAAGUGCCUUCGGGAGCCUAAAGACAGGUGCUGCAUGGCUGUCGUCAGCUCGUGUCGUGAGAUGUUGGGUUAAGUCCCGCAACGAGCGCAACCCUUGUCCUUUGUUGCCAGCAUGUAAAGAUGGGAACUCAAAGGAGACUGCCAGUGACAAACUGGAGGAAGGCAGGGAUGACGUCAAGUCAUCAUGGCCCUUACGGUCAGGGCUACACACGUGCUACAAUGGGGCGUACAGAGGGAAACGAUACCGCGAGGUGGAGUGGAACCCACAAAGCGUCCCUAAGUUCGGAUUGAAGUCUGCAACUCGACUUCAUGAAGUCGGAAUCGCUAGUAAUCGCAAAUCAGAAUGUUGCGGUGAUACGUCACCGGCCGUGUACUCAC
rnacentral:rRNA from 1 species